CCUACGGGUGGCUGCAGUGGGGGAUAUUGCACAAUGGGGGAAACCCUGAUGCAGCGACGCCGCGUGGGCGAAGAAGUAUUUCGGUAUGUAAAGCCCUAUCAGCAGGGAAGAAGAAAUGACGGUACCUGAGUAAGAAGCACCGGCUAAAUACGUGCCAGCAGCCGCGGUAAUACGUAUGGUGCAAGCGUUAUCCGGAUUUACUGGGUGUAAAGGGAGCGUAGACGGCUGCGCAAGUCAGAAGUGAAAGCCCGGGGCUCAACCGCGGGACUGCUUUUGAAACUGUGUAGCUAGAGUGCAGGAGAGGUAAGUGGAAUUCCUAGUGUAGCGGUGAAAUGCGUAGAUAUUAGGAGGAACACCGGUGGCGAAGGCGGCUUACUGGACUGUAACUGACGUUGAGGCUCGAAAGCGUGGGGAGCAAACAGGAUUAGAUACCCCUGUAGUC
rnacentral:rRNA from 1 species